GCUUACCAUAAAGGGGUUGAAUACUUAUUGACUCAAGACAUUUCAGCUUAAAAUGUUUUAUUAAUAAAUAAAAAAUUAGACUAACAAAAUUCCACUUUGACAUUAUGGGGUAUUGCGUGUAGAUCAGGUAUUGUGUAUUACAUUGUAAUUCAGACUGUAAACCAUUUAAAAUUCAGACUGUAAACCAUUUUAAAAUCAGACUGUAAACCAUUUUAAAAUCAGACUGUACACCAUUUUAAAAUCAGACUGUACACCAUUUUAAAAUCAGACUGUAAACCAUUUUAAAUUCAGACUGUAAACCAUUUUAAAAUCAGACUGUAAACCAUUUUAAAUUCAGUCUGUAAACCAUUUUAAAUUCAGGCUGUAACAACACAAUGUGGGAGAAGUUAAAAAGGUGUGAAUCCUUUCUGAAGGCCACUGUACAUACAACCGUUGCUAUGGGACCAAGAACAUUGCUACAGUACUGUGUUGUUUAUAGCACACUUAUUUAUACUGUAUCACACUGUAGAUAUAUGCCACUCAGAAAGCAUGCAGGACAUUAUUAAGGUCAUUACGGUAAGAUUAUAAAUUAACCAUAUGAAAUAAAGAUGAGAGGAAUAUUAAAACAGGGAUUUUACCACUGAGGAAGUCACGUGGUCUGUAUGACUAAUUUGGACUAGAUAUAUACCUUAUUCAUCACUGACUCCAUCCAAUCUACGUCCCACAUAAAGUAUUCUAUUGUGGACCCUUCAAUUUCUACCCUACUCAGUGAUAUUCUGAUAUAACAAUGUAAUAUUUAAGUCCGGAACAGACUAUCCUAAGGCUUUGUGAACUUUUGAGCGCUGUGCUUUAAUAUGCAAAAAACAGGUUACUAUACAAUACAUUGUCCUGACUGACACUGCUGUAUCCAUCACUGAUAUCCAUUCACAUCUUAAUAACUGCCAAAUACAUUACACUACAUUUUGUUUGGUCUGGAAAUGACUUUUGUAAAACUGUGUUGUCUGUCACCUUAAAAAAAAAAAAGACUUGAAAAGUGAUUAAAGAUCCAGGGUGAAUGUCGGAUGUGUUGUUGUGGUUAUAGUGAGCUGUUUGUCAAAUGGCAUCCUACUCGUCAUACUGUCUAGUGCACUACUUUUGACCAGGGCCCAUGAGCUCAGGGUCCAUAGGGUUAGGGCCCAUAGAGGUCAGGGCCCAUAGAGGUCAGGGCCCAUAGGGUUAGGGCCCAUAGAGGUCAGGGCCCAUAGGGUUAGGGCCCAUAGAAGUCAGGGCCCAUAGAGGUCAGGGCCCAUAGAGGUCAGGGCCCAUAGAGGUUAGGGCCCAUAGAGGGCAGGGCCCAUAGGGUUAGGGCCCAUAGAGGUCAGGGCCCAUAGGGUUAGGGCCCAUAGAGGUCAGGGCCCAUAGAGGUCAGGGCCCAUAGGGUUAGGGCCCAUAGAGGUCAGGGCCCAUAGAGGUCAGGGCCCAUAGGGUUAGGGCCCAUAGGGUUAGGGCCCAUAGAGGUCAGGGCCCAUAGGGUUAGGGCCCAUAGAGGUCAGGGCCCAUAGGGUUAGGGCCCAUAGAGGUCAGGGCCCAUAGGGUUAGGGCCCAUAGAGGUCAGGGCCCAUAGGGUUAGGGCCCAUAGGGUUAGGGCCCAUAGAGGUCAGGGCCCAUAGAGGUCAGGGCCCAUAGGGUUAGGGCCCAUAGAGGUCAGGGCCCAUAGGGUUAGGGCCCAUAGAGGUCAGGGCCCAUAGGGUUAGGGCCCAUAGAGCUCAGGGCCCAUAGGGUUAGGGCCCAUAGAGGUCAGGGCCCAUAGAGGUCAGGGCCCAUAGGGUUAGGGCCCAUAGAGCUCAGGGCCCAUAGGGUUAGGGCCCAUAGGGUUCAGGUCAAAAGUAGUGCACUACAUGGGGAAUAAGUAGGGUGCCACCUGGGGGACACAAUUCAUGUUGAAGUAGAUGGUUUCCUUCAGAGCUCUGGUCCUGUAUCUCUCCUUAGCCCGAAAAGCAACUCUGUUUUCUAUUGAAGUUUGUAAAAUAAGCGCUUUGAAAUAAAAUAACAAAUGAUAUCUCAUACUCUAGCCUGCUCUGGAAAUGUUUAAAAAUGCAAUUAUCGAUGAAUGAAAGCUUGCAUUACAUUACCCCAUUGAUUAAAGAUUAUAUUACUGAGAAUAGA